CCACGGUGCUCCGGUUCACGUGGAUGCGGAAACCUGGAGCCCGGCCCUAACGAGGGAGAUGGGCUGGAGAGCCCGGGAAGGCGCGGAGUUACCCGAGUGCAGGCCGAUGCGGAUGCGCACGGGCACCUCGGGCAUGUGCCGCAUGCGGAAGGUGCCCACGGCACUGAGGAUGUCCAGAGCCAUGUUGGCGAUCUCCGCUGCGUGCCGCUGCCCGUUCCGUUGGGGCAGCCCUGAGGCCACCAUAUAGGCGUCCCCGAUUGUCUCCACCUGAGGAGAGAAUUCAGUACUGAGCACCCCGCCAAUGCCAAUGUCCCUUGUCGGGAGGCCUAAACUGGGGCACCCACGGAGGCAGCAUCUGU